GGGCUCGUAGCUCAGCCAGGUAGAGCAACGGGCUUUUAACCCGUUGGUCGCGGGUUCAAAUCCCGUCGAGCCCG
rfam:Archaeoglobus profundus DSM 5631, complete genome.